UACGGCCAGAUCACGUUGAAACAUUGGUUCCCGUAUGAUCACCGAAGUUAAGCAACAUCAAGCCUGGCCAGUACUUAGUUGGGUGACCGCUUGUGAAUACUUAUUGCUGUAAG